rnacentral:rRNA from 1 species
UGGCUCAGGACGACGCUGGCGGCGUGCCUAACACAUGCAAGUCGAGCGAGGAGAUCCUUCGGGAUGAUCCUAGCGGCGGACGGGUGAGUAACACGUGGGCAACCUGCCUCAUAGAGAGGAAUAGCCUUCCGAAAGGGAGAUUAAUACCUCAUAACAUUGCAGUUUCGCAUGGAACAGCAAUUAAAGGAGUAAUCCGCUAUGAGAUGGGCCCCGCGGCGCAUUAGCUAGUUGGUGAGGUAACGGCUCACCAAGGCGACGAUGCGUAGCCGACCUGAGAGGGUGAUCGGCCACAUUGGGACUGAGACACGGCCCAGACUCCUACGGGAGGCAGCAGUGGGGAAUAUUGCACAAUGGGGGAAACCCUGAUGCAAGCAACGCCGCGUGAGUGAUGACGGCCUUCGGGUUGUAAAGCUCUGUCUUCAGGGACGAUAAUGACGGUACCUGAGGAGGAAGCCACGGCUAACUACGUGCCAGCAGCCGC